rnacentral:rRNA from 1 species
AUGUUCAUAAUGCAGAUCGACCAGGCUGCUUCGGGGAACUCCAAGGGCAAGGAGGUGGUUGUGGCCGACAAGAAGGCCAAGGCGGUGGUGGAGCUCGGCAGCGCCCCCAAGCGGUCGAAGAACUACGGCCAUUUCCAUGUGAAUGUUAGCCCAACCCACUUCUACAAGGUCAUCCUUGCACCCAAGCUGGAGUGUCAGCCGAUGCCACUAGGGUUCACCAAGCACUUCACCGCUGUCCCAGAGGAAUUCAAGCUGAAGACGAGCACCGACUGCUCCUGGAGGGUGACAAUCCGGAUGAUCAACGGCAGGCUCACCCUUGAUAAGGGUUGGCGCCCUUUGUUCACCAGAUCAGGUUUGGGUACCUCGUCACCUUCAAGCUGGCGACUCCCAACACCCUAA